GAUGAACGCUGGCGGCGUGCCUAAUACAUGCAAGUCGAGCGAACAGACGAGGAGCUUGCUCCUCUGACGUUAGCGGCGGACGGGUGAGUAACACGUGGAUAACCUACCUAUAAGACUGGGAUAACUUCGGGAAACCGGAGCUAAUACCGGAUAAUAUAUUGAACCGCAUGGUUCAAUAGUGAAAGACGGUUUUGCUGUCACUUAUAGAUGGAUCCGCGCCGCAUUAGCUAGUUGGUAAGGUAACGGCUUACCAAGGCAACGAUGCGUAGCCGACCUGAGAGGGGAUUCGGCCAACCUGGACUUGGGACCGGGUCCAGAUUCCAACGGAAGGCGGAGGUAGGAAACCGUCCGAAAGGGGCGAAGCCCUGCCGGGGAACGGCCGGGUGAUGGAUAAGGGUCUCGGGAUCUAAAACCCCUGUUAUUAGGGAAAACCAAAUGUGAAAGUAACUAGGCACGUCUGGACGGAACUUAACCAAAAACCCACGGCAAAUACGU
rnacentral:rRNA from 1 species